GACGAACGCUGGCGGCGUGCCUAACACAUGCAAGUCGGACGGGAUUUGGGGGCAACUCCAAGUUCAGUGGCAGACGGGUGCGUAACACGUGAGAAACCUGCCCAACGGUGGGGGACAGCCGGCCUAACGGCCGGGUAAUACCGCAUACGCUCGUUUGGGGGCAUCCCUGAGCGAGGAAAGCAGCCGCAAGGUUGCACCGAUGGAGGGUCUCGCGGCCUAUCAGCUAGUUGGCGGGGUAACGGCCCACCAAGGCGACGACGGUAGCUGGUCUGAGAGGAUGGCCAGCCACAUUGGGACUGAGACACGGCCCAGACUCCUACGGGAGGCAGUAGUGGGGAAUAUUGCGCAAUGGCCGCAAGGCUGACGCAGCGACGCCGCGUGUGGGAUGACGGCCUGG
rnacentral:rRNA from 1 species